UACUUGUGUGUUUAAUGUGCCGUCAUGUGAUCUGGUAAGUAGAGUAUCUAGGAAGGUAAGUUGUUUGUUCUGUUCUUUGUCCAUGGUGAAGGUUAUGUUCUGUGUGGUGUUGUUUAUUGUGUGUAGAAUGUGUUCUGUUUUGUCUUUCUCGACGAUAGCAAAGAUGUCGUCAACAAAUCUUCUCCAUAGUCUGAUGUGUGUGUUGUUAGUGACUGACUGCUUUUCAAGGUGUUGCAUAACAGCUUCUGCAAGGAAGGUGGAUAAAGGAGAACCCAUUGGUGUUCUUGAGAUUUGUCGGUAAUACGAAUGUUGGAAGGAGAAUUCAGUGGAGAGGCAGAGCUCGAGCAGGUCGAUGAUAUCGUCUUGGUCUAGUUCGGUUGUGAUUUUCCACGAGUUGUUGUUAUUGUACCUUAAAUCCAAAAUUUGAGUGGCUGGUGAUAUGAUACUGGUCUGUGAUGAAACGGUGAACAUUAAUUUUGAUUAUUAAAAAUUAUCUACAAUGCAAUCGUUUGCAAUCAAUUUCUAUAUAGCUGCACACCUCUCUAUUUAAGCAACAUGUUUGUAUAACUUGCACAAACGACUAUAUUGUGGUAUGGAAAUAAAGCAGUAGACGUAAAGGUACAAAGUACUGAGAAGAG